CCGCCUUUGAAACCUCUCGUCUCUCAAAACUCACUCACACCCUCUUGAAACCCUAGCCUAUCUCACAGUUGCCUACCUCAAGUUCACUCCAUUCCGGUCAUGAUACCAUCAUACUCAUCCUCUAUUACUUCUGUGUGCUCAAUAUUUGAAGAACCAAGGCCUUGAACUCCAUGGCUCCCUUUCAGAUCUUCUCAGAUCUAUGGAUCUACGGUUUCUCUGGAAACUAUUCCGGCAUUUGAGCAAUAUGAGUCCUUUCGACUCAAGAUCGGACUUUCCUCAAGACCUUUCUCAUUUCUAGGGUUUUCUUUGCAAUCCAUGGCUAUUCGAGGUUCUUUCUAAUUUUAUUUCUUUAGAUUUAUCACGUUUCUAUGCUCCACUUGAGUUUUCAAACGAUUUCCCUAAUUUUUCAUUCAAAAAUUCCUUUUUAGACCUUUCUUUUUCCGAUAUAUGAUUUUCUAAAAUGUUUGAGUGAUUUCUGAAUCUCCUUUUCCUUUAUGUGUACUUGCUCUUACUGUGUUCUUGUAUUCUUCCUUUUACCGUGCUUUUGUAUGACUAUUUUACUGUGUUCUUCUAUAUGUGUUUUUUGCUAUAAUUUUUUCUGAUGUUCUUGUGUUCUUCUACUGCACUUUUCUACUAAGUAUGAUGACUUAUUUAUUUGUCCUUUUAUGGACUUUGUUUGAAGUUGUUUCUAGACAUGUUUCAUCUACAGUUUUCUUAAAUUUACACUACCUCUUUGUCCUCUUAAAUUUUCUCAAGACAUAUUCCUUAUGCUUCAAAUCAGCUUUUGCAUUGUGGUUGUUCGAACCUGCUAUUUUACUUACUUGUUGUCUCAUUAUUCUCUAAAAGAGACUUUCGCGCCCAUUUCAGUUAUUUGCCUUCUCGUCUCUAUAUCUGAUUCGAGUCGAAAACCCUAAGAUUUGGGGUUUUUGGCGAGCUUGGUAUUGUGUUUGGACUAGGAUUCUAUUAUGGGAACCUGGAUUCUCUAAAUAUAAGUCUAAGCCUAAGUACUGAAUCUGAGCCUCUUUGUUUGUGGCUCUGAACCUUUCUAUACUAGAUCCUUUCUAAUUAGCUUGAUAGUUUUUUCUUGUUUGACAUGUUUGUAUGUGUUAUAUAUGAGAGAUUCUUCCUUCAAAAAGGUUUUACCAACUUGUGAUUGAUUCAGAAUUCCUUUUAAUAAGGUUCGAUUGAUUUUUACUGAUUUAAUUAAACCUUUCAUCACCUUUUCUAGUUAGAUUUAUUCACACCAAAACUCAAUUUUUGAUUUUUACUAGCCGUUGAUUGAUUCCCUUCCCAUAUUUGUCCCCAACCGUGUACUAUUGAAUGCUUUCCUUAAAUGAUUUCUAUGUAUCUACCCAUUUUGUGCUACUUUGAAAAGGUUUUAAUCAAAACCUCUUUCCUUAAUUGGUUCAACCCGUUGAGAUUAGAAUCCCUUAACUGAAGGGAGAUUGAUUCCAAUGAAUAUUCCCUUGCCAUUUUUACUUUCUUUUUUGCACUAUAAAAUGGGGCACGACCCUUCUAUGCCCAUCAUCGAUUAUUGAACAUUUAAAAUUCAAUAUUCUCACAUUCUCUAUUAGGAUAAUAUUUCAAUACUAUACUCUCUUCUAAGGUCUCUUGAACUGUUUGCAAACAAUUCGUCUUACAAGACUCCUGCUUUCCCUUAUUUGUUUCCCUGAAACUGGUAUGUCUCAAUUUUGAUUUCAACCUCUUCCCUAUGUGUUUACUUUACAGUUACUAUACUCCUGUCUACUUUGCUGUUCAUGUUCUGCAAUGAAUGUGCUACUUUCUCAUUGCAUAUGCUAUUUUCAUGAAUUCCCCAUACCCCCACCCCUUAUAUGUGUGAGUUAAGGCUCAUGGCCUGACAGUAUCUAUAUUGCUGCCCAGGUUUGAACCUGAUCCACAAUGGAUCCUAACUCAUAAGAUUGAGCUAUCAUGCUGGUUAGGGUGUGCCAGUACACCUAAGCUAGGCAUGACCACCAGUCUGCCCUGGCUUUCCCUAAUUACCUCUUUAUGCACUUGCACUUAUUAUUAGAAUCUAAGCUCUGACCCCCUCUUAUAAGCCUUCUUUUGGGACCCUGAGUUCCUUCUAAACUUGGACAUUAGAGGGCUGGCCCUUCCACAUUGCAGUUUGAUCCAACCCUGCUAUGUAUUUGGGGUGUAACCACUACCCGGAGCCCUUUGAGACUCCUAGGAACUUUGACACAUCCCAAAUAAGAGAAAGGGCUUUUCAAAAUCUAAUCCUGGAAGUUGUUUUAUCUUAUAUUGUUAGACUUUAAGUCUGAAUUAGGCUGUUUGGAUGUACUUUGAUUUCUUAUGUAAUUUUUACUUUUCUGAUUCAUUUUGGUCUGUAAUAAUUUGUAAUAACUAUGGGGAUGGAUAGUGGAAAGGGAUAGAUAUGAAUGUAUGCAAAAGGUAGAUCACUUGCCU
rnacentral:lncRNA from 1 species